UCCCCCCGUCCCUGCUCUCUUGCUCUUCUCAUACCUCUGGGCAAUGUUAUCCUUCUACUCUCUCCUCUUUUUUUUGGUCUUUUCCUAUCAUCCUAUCCUUUCCCUCUUCCUCUAUCUCUCCGUUUCUUGCGCCAACCUCCUUCUAGCACCCAGUCUAUCUAUCUCCUUUAUAGCAGGUGCCCACUUCUUUUAUGCCAACUACAGCUGCGCGGUGGCGUGGCCAUGGGGGAAAACCCAGGGUGGGUGAUGAGUGCAUGUGGGGGGGGGGCAAGCUUGGUGUCCCUACCGGCAAAGAAACACCCACCCGCCCACCUCAAUCCGUACAGAGGCACGCACGCACGCACAUACACACACACAAAAACUGGAGUCCUUCGCUUCUCCUCUCGCCACCCUACAAUCCGCUGUUGAAAGUGGCACGGUGCCAGCCCAUAAAGAACCAUCUGUGCCCCCCCCGUCGGUAGCUCGGGCCCCUCCCCCUCUCUAUAGCACUAAUUGGCAGCUGAAUUAAUUAAAUCGUGGAUGCUAAUUAACAUUCUGUCUGUGCAAUGCUAAGGCGAGGGGGGGAAAGAGAGGCAAAGCAUAGAGGGUCUCCACUGGGCAUUGAGAGAAAGAGAGAAAAAGUGGGCACAGGAAGCGUCUGUGUUUGGAUGGCGGGUGGCAGGCGGGCAGAUCUGGUUUUAUCCCCAGCCCUGACAGGGGAGCAAAAUCUUUGGGCUUCAAAGUCGCAGGAACACAACAUUUCACAAGGAUGCCCAGUCCUAAGCCAGAGACAACAAGAACAAACUGCCUCCAUUAUUGCUCACCACGGAGUGGCAUGCUCGUUAGGAAGAAAACAUCUCCUUGAAGGCCAUCGUUGCCAUCACCGGUUCUGGAGAGCCAUAAGUUUUCGGCCCCUAACUUAAGAGCCACACUAAUUUUUGGGAAAUCCUGUUUCAAAAACCCACUUUGUUAAGUUGCACUAUGCACACACACACGUGUGUGUGUGUGUCUGUCUGUCUGUCUUAGAACUACCUUACAGGGUCAUUGUGAGAGAUGAAAAGAGAGGGAAGGGCAGAUAACUCUGCCAGCAGGGCAGGAUUUUAAAGAACAGCGUAGCUCAAUGGUUUAGGUACCCAGUAGUGUUGCCAGAGGUGAGAGUUCAAUUCCCCUCCGGUGCCUCCUUGACGGGGCUGGACUUGAUGAUUUGUAGGGUCCCUUCCAGCUCUGCAGUUAUCGGAUGAUGAUCUUAUAGCGCCAUCCGACACCUCCCUUCCAAAAGCCUGCCGCGUCGAGUUGAAAAGGAAUUGCUACCAAGUGAAAUGUGCAGUAUCGUUCUCUUUAAAGAAAUAAAAACACAUCUGUGCAAAAAAUCA
rnacentral:lncRNA from 1 species